UUAUGUUCCACUCUUUCAUAUGUGUCUCAUAAUAUUUCAAGCACACAUCCAAAUAAACAUGAACAGGGAGUUUCAUUAUAGUGUUUUUUAGAGAAGGCUUAAUAGUACAUCAGUAGGAGAAAAAAAAAGUUACAUGUUGAGGAUACAGUUAGAUGAAGUAACCUAGAAAUGCCAAGCAUCAAAGAGAUUAUGCAAUUUUCCCAGUAUUACAUGACAGUACAUGAGUAUUAAGUAGUAGAGACAUUACCAACUGUGUCACAUCAUUUCAGAGAUUAUACUUUUAUUCAGAGCUUGCAAAAAAAAUAACAUUGUGUGAAAAAUGUAAGCAAGACGAUGAAACUACAGAGAAGUACCAUUUAUAUAAAUCAAAAAUAAAUGGGAAAGUUCCCAUUGUGGAUCAGCAGAAAGGAAUCUGACUAGUAUCCAUGAGGAUGCAGGUUUGAUCCCUGGCCUUGCUCAGUGGGUUAAAGUUCCGGCGAGCUGUGGUGUAGGUUGCAGAUGCAGCUGGAAUCCCGCGUUGCUGUGGCUGUGGCAUAGGCUGUAAUUUGACCCCUAGCCUGGGAACCUCCAUAUGCCACUGGUGCAGCCCUAAAGAGACUAAAUAAAUAAAUAAAUGUACACUCAAAUUAGUACUAUAUAAUCUCAAAGACACACAGAAAUAUAAGAAUGUUAAAUAUUUAAGGCAUGGGGAGAUGGAUGAAAAUAAGAAUGGGAGAUAGAGUAAAAGUAUUCAAAUAAAAUAAUACAAGCAGAUGCUAACCAUUAUUAUUUUUCAUAGUAAUAUUUUUCAGAGUCUGAAAUAUUUAUCAGUAAUCUAUUUUUAAGGUGCUAGUUUUUUUUUCUAAUUUUGAGAAAUCCUCAGUUAUUUAAAAGUAAAAUUCAGUUUAUAGUCAAACUUAUAAUAAAACUAGCAAUUACAUAAGCCUUGUGUCACAGUAUGUCAGGCACAGUUUUAUAAUAGAUGAUAGAUCAUUAGACCAUAAAUAGCUAGUUAGAUAUAUAGAAUACAGAAAUACAUAUAUAUAUCUAUAUAUUUUGCUUUUUAGGGGCGCACCUGUGGUGUAUGUAAGUUCCUGGGCUGGGGUCUACAGCUGCCAGCCUAUACCACAGCCAUAGCAACAUGGGAUCUGAGCUGUGUCUGUGACCUACAUCCACAGCUUAAGGCAACACCGGAUCCUUAACCCACUGAGCGAGGCUAGGGAUCAAACCCGCAUCCUCAUGGUCAUUAGUCGGGUUUGUUACCACUGAACCACAAAGGGAACUCCUAGAAUACAGAAAUAUAGAUAUAUAAUCAGUGAUAUACAUACAGUGAUAGAUGUACAUGAAUAUAUACACACAUACUCAUACUUUGCUCAGAACGUCAGUGCUGUUGAUACUUUCAUUUUUGUGAUAAGAAAAUUAAGAUCAACUGAAAUUGCUUGUCCGAGUUCACAUGUUUUGUUAGGCUGAAUAAUGCACAAAGAUAGCCACAUUCUGACCCCUAGAAUCCGUGAAUAUUUACCUUAGAGGGCAAAGGAGUGAAAAUAUUGUGGCAAAAGAUGUGAUUAACUUAAGGAUUCUGAGAUGGGCUGAUUGUCCUGGAUCAUCUGGGUGGACCCAAUAAAAUCACAAGGAUUCUCAUAAACCGAAGACGGGAGGGUCAGAAGAGCAGGAUGCUCUGUAAAGGAGGAAGAUGUGAUGAAAGAGGAAAAAUUAGAGGAGAGAUUUGAUGAUGUUACACUUUAAAGAUGAAGGAAGAAGCCAUAAGCCUAAGAAUACAGGCAUCCUUUAGAAUUUGGAAAAGGCAAAGAAAGGGAUUUUCCCCUGGAACCUUCAAAACAAAAGCAGCUCUGCUUUCAUUUUGAUUUUAGCCCUUUAUUUAUUUAUUUAUUUUUAAUUAGCUUCUGCUAUUUUAUUUUAUUUUUUGUUUUUUUCUAGGGUCAUACCUGCAACACAUGGAGAUUCCCAGGCUAGGGGUCUCAUCAGAGCUGUAGCUGCCGGCCUACACCAGAGACAGCAAUGCUGGAUCCAAGCUGCAUCUGUGACCUACACCACAGCUCUUGGCAAUGCCAGAUCCUUAACCCACUGAGCAAGGCCAGGGAUUGAACCCGCAACCUCAUGGUUCCUAGUCGGAUUCCUUAACCACUGUGCCACGAUGGGAACUCCUGAUUUUAGCCCUUUAAAUCUCAUUUUUUUUUUUUACUUUAAAUCUUUAGAAAUUAAAGAAAAUAGAUUUAUGUUACCUUAAGCCACUAAUUUUGUGUAAUUUGUUGCAGCAAUUGGAAAGUAAAAGAACCAGCUAGUGUCAGAGCCCCAUUACAAUCUUAUCUGAUAUUCUCCAGCUACACUUUCUACCUCCGUUUAGUAAUUUGGAAUAUUCUUAGGUAACAUGUUAUAGAAUUAUUAUGAAUAUGUUUUUCAAAUGAGGUUCUCCAAAAUCUCAUGACUCGACUAAAUUUGACCUUUGUAACAGUGAAAGUUCCUAACCCAUAAAACUACAUCACACUACAGCACAGAAAAUUAAAAUUGUCCUCUUUUAUACUCACUCAGGCAGCACACUUGCUUUCCAAACUGCAGGUUUUCUACUGAUAUUUGAAUAUGUGCUAAGACAUGAUGAUGAACCCAUAAUCAUCCCCCACUUGAAAAAGUGUGAAAUAAUACCUAAAAUUACCUCAGUGACAUUUCAGAAUCAUACCCUUACUGAAAGAAAUGCAAAGAAACAAGUAAUGGCUUACUUCAGAAAAAUAUCUCCCACGUAUUAGUACACUGUCUGGCACAUAUUAAAGGUUAAAACUUACUUGUUUAAUUAAAAAAAUGACAUUUGAAAUUAUUUAUAGUAAUAUUAAUUUAGAAAAAAUUGUCAUAAAUCUUCAUUUCUAUUGUCACAUAAAUUUUUUACUUCGGUUCACAUGUAAGAGAAGAACAUGCUAUUAUAAUUACAGCUAUUAUGAAUUUGAAUGAUUUUAUUUUUCUUAUCUAUCAUUUGGAGCUAAAAAAGAGCAAUGUAAUUUCACUUGAGUUAGAGCUGAGGCAUUUACAAUAGAUUAGUAUUAGAUUAAAUGUUAUAAUAUAGCAAUUUUCAUUAAAUAACCUGGAGCUGCUCUUUAAAAAAAAUAUUGUCAUUUGAGCUAGGAAAUUUAACUUUCUCUGCCAGGUUUUAUAUUCAUCAUAAAGAGUAAAUUUGGAGCUAGAAGAAAUGCAGUAUACCAUUUUAAGCCAUUUUUGAGUUUACAGAUUGAUAGAACUUUUCUUUAAACACAGGCUACGAGAAGAAGAAUUUUAACUGAACAGAAAUGAGACAUAGUCCUGUCUCUCUGUUUGAGUACUGUAACUACCUUGACUGUGAGGGGCUAUCUGAAAAAUACUUCUUUUCUACAGAUUUCAGUUGUUCUCCCAUGUCAUGGAUAAGUAUGCAGCUUUUUCUGAUUGCACAUAAGUGAUCAAGUUCACAACAAGCAUAUAAGUAGGCAGAGAGAUUUAGCGAGAGGGUAGUUAAAGGUCUGAAAUAGCUGGUGAGAGUACAAAGCAUUUCCUUGGGUAAACAAAAUCUUGAGAAAUCCUAAGGGCCUGUAUUGACAAUGGAGUCUAUUUUUUUUUUUUUUUUUUUUUGGCUCAGAAUUUCUGGGAGUUCUCAAGCAUAGCCUUUUAAAAAUUAAAGUUUCGAGAUUAAGAUGUCCUAGACUUUAGAGGUAUUAUAAAUGCAUACCUCAAAAUUCGAUGAAGACAGGACUGUGGUGUUAAAUCCUCAUAUGAUAAUCUUUUUGUUUGAUUGUGUUUCAUUGUCUAGAACUUUGUAAAAAAAACAAACAAAUAAACACCACCCCAUCACCUCUCUUUGCCUGUGAGCUCACUGAAGAUUUAGCAUUUUAAGGAGUCUCCAUACUAAGUAGAAGAUCUUCUUUUCUAUUCCUUUCACCACAUCUUUGCAUGACCUUUGGAUAUUUUUAAACUAGUAUCUUCAAACAUCAGCAGAGUAACUCAACCUAAAUGUACCAUUCUGCUUUUCAAUUACUUCUAAUUUUUGCCCUCUGCAGAAUUUCUUUCUUUUCAGUUCAACAGUAGGCUGAAGGGGCAGUUAUUAUAUUAAUCCAGUAAUUUUGUUUGAGUAUCUGGUUUACAGUUGUGCUUGCAUUAAAAAAUACUAGUGUAGGAGUUCCCAUCGUGGCUCAGUGCAAACAAAUCUGACUAGGAACCAUGAGGUUUCGGGUUCGAUCCCUGGCCUCGCUCAGUGGAUUAAGGAUCUGGCAUCGCCAUGAGCUGUGGUAUAGGUUGCAGAUGCGACUCGGACUGGUGUUGCAGUGGCUCUGGCAUAGGCCAGUGGCUACCACUCCGAUCAGGCCCCUAGCCUGGAAACCUCCACAUGCCUCAGGUGUGGCCCUCAAAAAAAAAGACAAAAGACAAAGAAAAAAAAAAUUUAAAAAAAUACUAUGAAAACAGGAGUUCGCAUUAUGGCUCAGUGGAAACGAAUCUAACUAGUAUCCGUGAGGAUGAAGGUUUGAUCCCUGGCCUUGCUCGGUGUGUUAAGGAUAUGGCAUUGCUGUGAGCUGUAGGUCACAGAUGUGGCUUAGAUCUGGAGUUGCUAUGGCCAGUGGCUACAGCUCAGAUUCAAACCCUACCCUGGCAACCUCCAAAUGCCAUAGGUGCAGCCCUAAAAAGAUCAAAAAAAGAAAAAAUAGUGAAAAUAUUUAUUCACUAAUACUACCUUUAAAAUAAUCCAUUUAGGAUAUGUCAGGUUAGUUUUCUUUUUGUUCAGUAAAAUUGUUGAUUCAGAGACCUUUAUUAAAAAUUUAUAUCUGGAGUUUCCAUUGUGGUGCAGCAGAAACGAAUCUAACUAGGAACCAUGCGGUUGUGCGUUCGAUCCCUGGCCUCGCUCAGUGGGUCAGGGAUCUGGCAUUGCCCUGAGCUGUGGUGUAGGUCGCAUACAUGGCUCGGAUCUAGCAUUGCUGUGUCUCUGGCCUAGGCUGGCAGCUGUAGCUCCAAUUAGACCCCUAGCCUGGGAACCUCCAUAUGCUGUGGGUGCAGCC
rnacentral:lncRNA from 1 species